rnacentral:lncRNA from 1 species
AUGUUUCUUCUUUCGUGUAAGCUAGUAACUUUUCUUCAUCGACCCUUAUUUUGGUCUCACCCUCAUUUGGUCUUAGGGUUCUUCUUUGAUGUAAGUUGAUUUUUCUUAACUCGUUUUCCUAUCAUCGCUAUUUUGGUCUUGUGCACCUUCCAAAAAACAGUUAAAAAGUGUGAGAGAUGCUCUCUCUCUAAGUGUAAUUUCUUGCCUCUUAUUUGGUGUAGUUGGUUGCUUCACAUUCUUCGAAUCCACACACCCUCGAUUUCUUCUUGCAUCACAUGUGUUCAACGAAUGUGA